rnacentral:rRNA from 1 species
AUUGAACGCCGGCGGCAUGCCUUACACAUGCAAGUCGAACGGUAACAGGUCUUCGGAUGCUGACGAGUGGCGAACGGGUGAGUAAUACAUCGGAACGUGCCCGAUCGUGGGGGAUAACGAAGCGAAAGCUUUGCUAAUACCGCAUACGAUCUACGGAUGAAAGCAGGGGACCGCAAGGCCUUGCGCGAACGGAGCGGCCGAUGGCAGAUUAGGUAGUUGGUGGGAUAAAAGCUUACCAAGCCGACGAUCUGUAGCUGGUCUGAGAGGACGACCAUCCACACUGGGACUGAGACACGGCCCAGACUCCUACGGGAGGCAGCAGUGGGGAAUUUUGGACAAUAGGCGAAAGCCUGAUACAGCCAUGCCGCGUGCAGGAUGAAGGCCUUCGGGUUGUAAACUGCUUUUGUACGGAACGAAAAGACUCUGGUUAAUACCUGGGGUCCAUGACGGUACCGUAAGAAUAAGCACCGGCUAACUACGUGCCAGCAGCCGCAGUAACAC